rnacentral:rRNA from 1 species
UACGUAGGUGACCAGCGUUGUCCGGAUUUACUGGGCGUAAAGAGCGCGCAGGCGGUCGUUCAAGUCGAGUGUGAAAGCCCCCGGCUCAACUGGGGAGGGUCAUUCGAUACUGAUCGACUGGAAGGCAGGAGAGGGAAGCGGAAUUCCUGGUGUAGUGGUGAAAUGCGUAGAUAUCGGGAGGAACACCAGUGGCGAAGGCGGCUUCCUGGCCUGUUCUUGACGCUGAGGCGCGAAAGCUAGGGGAGCAAACGGG